CCUGGGCACACCUGCUCCUGCCAUCGGCACUCCUACUAUCAUGGCUGCAUCUGGGGUUUGGAGUUCACAGAAACCUCUUAAAAAGGCACCCAAUUGCUCAACUUUGCUAAGCAGAUGAAGAGUGAAAUAAAUGUUGCUUCACCAGCUGGACUGUGCGUGUCGGAGCAGACAAAGAAUUAAUAAAAGGGUCACUGAACCUGCUCUGAAUCUCAGAUGCAUCCUUCGUGAAGUGAAAAAAGAUUCCCCUGAGCUGCUAAGAGCAAGGAAACACAAUCCGGGCUGAGCUGGAAACUCUAGAUCUGCUACAACCUGGUUAAUUGCUACUGGGCAGAGAGGCAAAGAAUAGAUAAAAAUUUGCAGCUGUAAAAAAAAAAAAAGAAAUCUGAAAGGGAUAGAGCAGCUUAGUAAAAAGAAAGCUGGAAUCUGAAGCCACCUCCAUUCAUUCAUGGAACACCUAUGAGGCGCCUAUUCCCAUAGUGUCACAAGCACUGACUGUCGUAGGUCCAGGGAGACACAGGUCCCUCAAAGAGCUUACUCCUAGAGUAGCAGGUUUAUAUUUGUAAUUAUAAACAAAUAACUACAGUAAAAUGUGGCAAGUGGCAAGAAAGAGAAAGGCACAAA
rnacentral:lncRNA from 10 species